AUUUGUAGUAGUAUGGGGGAGGAGGAGAAGGUGAAGGAGGGGGAGGAGACUUGUAAUAGUAUGGCGGAGGAGGUGAUGGGGAUGGUGGUGGUGGAGACUUGUAGUAGUAUGGUGGAGGAGGUGACGGCGAUGGUGGUGGGGGAGAUUUGUAGUAGUAUGGAGGAGGAGGUGAUGGUGAUGGUGGUGGUGGAGAUUUGUAGUAGUAUGGUGGAGGAGGUGAUGGUGAUGGUGGUGGUGGAGACUUGUAGUAGUAUGGAGGUGGGGGAGAUGGGGAAGGUGGUGGUGGAGACUUGUAGUAGUAUGGUGGGGGAGGAGAGUAUACUGGAGGUGGAGGUGAUUUGUAGUAGUAUGGUGGAGGAGGAGAGUAGACGGGUGGAGGAGGUGACUUGUAGUAGUAAGGCGGGGGAGGAGAGUAGACUGGAGGAGGAGGUGAUUUGUAGUAGUAUGGUGGGGGUGGCGAGUAGACUGGAGGAGGAGGUGACUUGUAGUAGUAUGGUGGUGGAGGAGAGUAGACGGGUGGAGGUGGUGACUUGUAAUAGUAUGGUGGGGGUGGCGAGUAAACUGGAGGAGGAGGUGACUUGUAGUAGUAUGGUGGUGGAGGAGAGUAGACGGGUGGAGGUGGUGACUUGUAGUAGUAUGGUGGGGGAGGAGAGUAAACGGGUGGAGGUGGUGACUUGUAGUAGUAUGGUGGGGGAGGAGAGUAGACAGGUGGGGGUGGUGACUUGUAGUAGUAUGGUGGGGGAGGAGAGUAGACAGGUGGGGGUGGUGACUUGUAGUAGUAUGGUGGGGGAGGAGAGUAGACAGGUGGAGGUGGUGACUUGUAGUAGUAUGGUGGGGGAGGAGAGUAGACGGGUGGAGGUGGUGACUUGUAGUAGUAUGGUGGUGGUGGAGAGUAGACUGGAGGAGGAGGUGACUUGUAGUAAUAUGGUGGUGGAGGAGAGUAGACGGGUGGAGGAGGUGACUUGUAGUAGUAUGGUGGGGGAGGAGAGUAGACGGGUGGAGGUGGUGACUUGUAGUAGUAUGGUGGUGGUGGAGAGUAUACUGGAGGUGGUGGUGAUUUGUAGUAGUAUGGUGGAGGUGGAGAGUAUACUGGAGGUGGUGGUGACUUGUAGUAGUAUGGUGGAGGUGGAGAGUAUACUGGAGGAGGUGGUGAUUUGUAGUAGUAUGGUGGGGGAGGAGAGUACACUGGAGGUGGUGGUGAUUUGUAGUAGUAUGGUGGAGGUGGAGAGUAUACUGGAGGAGGUGGUGACUUGUAGUAGUAUGGUGGAGGAGGGGAAUAUACUGGAGGCGGUGGUGACUUGUAAUAGUACACAGGUGAAGGUGGGGGAGGUGACUUGUAGAUAGGUGAUGGAGGAGGUGGAGACUUGUAGUAGUAAGUUGGUGAUGGAGGAGGUGGGGACUUGUAGUAGUAAGUCGGGGACGGGGGAGGUGGCGACUUGUAGUAGUAAACAGGGGUAGGUGGAGGUGGGGACUUGUAGACGUAGGGAGGUGGGUAGUAAGGCUUAGGCUUCAUGCACUCCUUGUAAGGCUUCUUUGGAGCAUAUGCAAAAGGCUUAGCGUACAACACAACCUCAUACUUAGUCUUAGACUUGACCCUUAGCUUGGCGCCAACUUUGCCCCA
rnacentral:lncRNA from 1 species